GGCAGAUAAGAAGAACAGUUGGAAGUUCUGGAGAAAGGCUGGGCUUCAGAUAGAGCUGUGGAGGUCGGCAGAACAUACAGAAGGAUGAAAGUGAUGGGCUUGGAUCACAUCACUUAGAGGGCACAACUAAGAAUACAAACUGAGUGGGGCGCAGUGGCUCACGCCUGUAAUCCCAGCACUUUGGGAGGCCGAGGCGGGCGGAUCACAUGAGGUCAGGAGUUCGAG
rnacentral:lncRNA from 1 species